GAAAAUUUUUUAUUAUUUUAUUUUUACUUUAUGUGCAUUAAAGUGAGGAUGUCAGAUACCAUGAAACUGGAGUUACAGAUAGUUGUGAGCUGCCAUGUGAGUGCUUAGAAUUGAACCUGGGUCCUUUGCAAGAACAACCAGUGCUCUUAACCAUGAUCCAUCUCUCCAGCCCCCACCAAGUUCUUAUAAUCCAUUUCUUGCCACUAAAGAAAAAAAUUCCCCUAGAAAACACAAGAAACCUGUUAGGAGCAGCCAUUGUGGGAAAACAUUGAAUUCAUUUAUAUGCUUUAUCAACACCAGUAAAGCAGCCCUACUGAGUGCAGGACUGAGCCAGCAUCUGACACAAUUAACACACACACACACACACACACCGUUCUCCACACUGAACUAUGAGUCUGAGAAGCCUCCAGUGAGCCCUGACAGCACAACACCCCAGAGUACUCACAGGAGAAGGGACAACAGCGUGGUGUGGAUAUUCGUUCUGGGUAGCUGAGAAUGGUCUCCCAUCAAUCUCAGUUACCACAAUGCUAGGAAAUUCCCCACUAAAAUAUUAUUAGCUUGUUAAAGCUUUGUCAGGUCUUAGGAACCCCAAAUUAGCAUUUCAUCGAAGCAGAGAGAUACGGUCUCCUCUGUAAUGUGCGACGGUGUCCAGGCCCUAAGCUGCAGAAAGUUAAUUAAUUGCUGUCUGACAUGCUAAUGAGUGUUCAGUGUCUUCUCUCCAGCUCUGACUUACUCAGAGAGCCUCGUGUUGGCCCAAGAAGCUCUCGGCUUGCAUUCCUGCAUGGUGGACUAUAUGACAAAAAUGGACACAAUUUACUUUGAAAGGAAAUUUUUGUUGAGGCAAAGAAUAAAAAAAUGUUUAAAAAAC
rnacentral:lncRNA from 1 species